rnacentral:rRNA from 1 species
CCUACGGGAGGCAGCAGUGAGGAAUAUUGGUCAAUGGGCGCAAGUCUGAACCAGCCAUGCCGCGUGCAGGAAGACGGCUCUAUGAGUUGUAAACUGCUUUUAUACGGGGGUAAACUCCAGUACGCGUAUCUGUCUGAAAGUAUCUUACGAAUAAGGAUCGGCUAACUCCGUGCCAGCAGCCGCGGUAAUACGGAGGAUUCAAGCGUUAUCCGGAUUUAUUGGGUUUAAAGGGAGCGUAGGCGGGCGGAUAAGUUAGAGGUGAAAUCCCGAGGCUCAACCUCGGAAUUGCAGCUGAUACUGUUCGGCUAGAGAGUAGUAGCGGUAGGCGGAAUGUAUGGUGUAGCGGUGAAAUGCUUAGAGAUCAUAAAGAACACCGAUUGCGAAGGCAGCCUACUAAGCUACUUCUGACGUUGAGGCACGAAAGUGUGGGGAGCAAACAGGAUUAGAUACCCGUGUAGUC